AUGUUGAACACUCAAGCUAACUUGCACCGCAAGACUGUUAUCAACUCUGCAUGUCGCCCACGUUGCAAUACUGCUCAGGAGGACUGCGCAUACCUGUUCUUCUCUGGCCCCGCCUCGACUAUAUGGGCAGCGAUCGGUCUUCAGCCUUGCUCCUUGCCUCUCACUGAGUUGUGGAACAGGCCAUGCCACCCUAGCCUCCCGCGGGCUGUCUGGCCCUUUAUCCUGCUGCUAGAGAACUGUUGGGAGGAAGUGUCGUUUGCAGGUCGUGCGCACACUGUCGGCUAUAGUAGCCCCAGCCUCGUGGGAAAGAACACAGGGGAAGAAUCAGCAAGCCAUGCACGCCCCCUCUCUCCUGCGCUCCUAUUCCCAUCUCGCCAUGCAAUCGCCGCCGCCGCCUAUACAUUCCGGCUAGCAAUUGCCUCCGUGGUUAACCCUAGCCCGGGGCGACCUCCCCGGCGAGCCCUAGGCUUAGCGCCGGCGUCGCUCCGCUUCCACCAGCCGGCCCUUUUCUCUGCUGCCUCUAGCCCAUGUCGCGUUCUCUGUACUACGUGUGCCUGA
rnacentral:rRNA from 1 species